GCCCCUGGUGUAGGCGUGCCGCCCGCCAUAUUGUGUUUGCCACUUGUUGUCCUUACAGUCCGCGCGCUGUUUCGCCGUGUUUUGUGCAAGCUUUCUUCCUGUUUAUAACAGCCAGCAAUGAUGAACGGCGAUAACGACGACGUUGGAGGCUACCUGAACCCUGGAACAAAGGUAAACAGUCCACCACUCUCGCUCUCUUGCUGCCUCGCCUCCUGACCACGCGUGUGACUGUCUGGACACUUGUUAUUUUCUUACUCUCUUCUUCUCGGUGUACCAAUAAUGUGUCUAAACUUUUCUUUUAUAGUUGAUAAAUCUCUCUCUUACUUUCACUUACUCUCAAUACAAAUAAGCCAUAUUACCUACCUGUACACCAAUCAGAGUAACCCAAACAAGUCCAGCUUGUAUUAUUGUAUAGUGUAAGUUUUGAUUACCGUAGGUAAGCAGCAGGUCAGACGAUUCCCCAAGAUUGUGUAUGUGCGCGUGUGUGUGUGUGUGUACGUACGUACGUACGUACGUACAGAACUGUAGUCGCUUAAAAAGUAUUGGUUUCAUCAACUUGUGUUAAUUCCAUUGAAUACUUUUGUGUGUUAAUAUAUUGU